rnacentral:rRNA from 1 species
CAGUCGCCACGGUAAUACGAAGGGUGCAAGCGUUAAUCGGAAUUACUGGGCGUAAAGGGAGCGUAGGCGGCGUGGUAAGUCAGAUGUGAAAUCCCGGGGCUCAACCCCGGAACUGCAUCCGAUACUGCCGUGCUAGAGGAUUGGAGAGGUAGCUGGAAUUCUUGGUGUAGCAGUGAAAUGCGUGGAGAUCAAGAGGAACACUCGUGGCGAAAGCGAGCUACUGGACAAUAUCUGACGCUGAGGCUCGAAGGCCAGGGUAGCGAAAGGGAUUAGAUACCCGAGUAGUCCCUGUCUCUUAUAC